CGAAGACCACUAUCUCUGGGAGCCCUCCAUUUAGUGUGUUUGUCAGGGGUAAUUUCCCAUGUGUAAGGUGUGAUUCCUUCCUGUUUAGUGACCAAGACCCUCUGCUUCUUUUAUCUCCCCUGUGCAGAUAACAAGAGUUAUAUUCUGCGUCUUCCUGGAUACCGACUACGAUAUCUACAAGGAGAAAAUGGCUGAGCUCUUCCAAGAGAACGACAUGGAGGUCACGGAGGGACAGUCAAAGGCUGGUAACACACCGCCGUCAAAGAAAUCCAAGAACAGGGAGCCAAGUGAGGACAGAAGCACAGGUACGGCCCCCCCCCCCCUUCACUUCGGGGUGAGCGAGCUUUCAGGCUGAACGCCUGAACGCCCGAACGCCCUUUACAUUUAUAACAGAAUAUAAUCAACCGCGGCUACCAGCUAGGGUUUCACUCCACCGUGCGCCUAGCAUAGCCGCUGGGUUUAACAACCUACGACGGAUCGUGUUUACAGCACGUUUGUAAUGCGCUUCUGGAGUAAUGGACUGUGUUCCUGGUCAGUAAUCUCCAUCGCUCUGCCAAGCCAGGUUCCUCUUUGGGGAAAUGAAUACAAAAUAAAGCCGGGUCUCCCUUUUAAGAGAAGGUUUUUCUCUUUACCACUAAACUUGUUUAAGAAUCCUUUAUCUGGCUACGUGCAGCUCCAGCCCCCCUUGGAUGUGUAAUGUUGAAACAAUUAUAGGCUUC